rnacentral:lncRNA from 1 species
UUUUAAUUUAUGUAUCCCCUUCUAUUGCCCAUACAUGUUGAAAUGUACAGGUUUAUAUGAUAGUCCUGUCUAGCCUCGUCACUACUUUGCCGGGGUUAGGCCAGGCACUUACCAGCACAUGGGGUCGGUUGUGCUGAUACUACACUUCUGUGCCUUUUCUGCACAAGUCAGGACGCAGCCUACGGACCACAGCAGUAGUUAGUGGACGAUCCUUCAGUCUAGAGAUUCUGAGGUAGUUCAUUGGCGUUCGCGGGCCCCGAGUCUCUUGUAUCUU